rnacentral:rRNA from 1 species
UAAGUAUAAACUGCUUAUACUGUGAAACGCGAAUGGUCAUUAAAUCAGUUAUAGUUAUUUGAUGGUACCUACUACUCGGAUCCCGUAGUAAAUCAGAGUAAUACGUCGUAAAUCCCGACUUCUGGAAGGGACGUAUUUAUUAGAUAAAAGGCCGACCGGCUCUGCCCGACUCGCGGUGAUCAUGAAACUUCACGAAUCGCAUGGCCUUGGCCGGCGAUGUUUCAUUCAAAUUCUGCCCUAUCAACUUUCGAUUAGGAUAGAGGCCUACAUGGUGGUAACGGGUGACGGAGAUAGGGUUCGAUUCCGGAGAGGGAGCCUGAGAAACGGCUACCACAUCCAAGGAAGCAGCAGGCGCGCAAAUUACCCAAUCCUGACACAGGGAGGUAGGACAUAAAUAACAAAUGGGCCUUUUCAGGUCUGGUAAGGAAUGAGUACAAUCUAAACCCCUUAACGAGGCAAUUGGAGGGCAAGUCUGGUGCCAGCAGCGCGGUAAUCCAGCUCCAAUAGCGUAUAUUAAGUUGCUGCAGUUAAAAAGCCGUAGUUGGAUUUCGGGUGGGGCCGCCGGUCCGCCGUUUCGGUGUGCACUGGCAGGCCCACCUUGUGCCGGGGACGGGCUCCUGGGCUCACUGUCGGGACUCGGAGUCGGCGCUGUUACUUGAGUAAAUUAGGUGUUCAAAGCAGGCCUACGCUCUGAUACAUAGCAUGGAAAACCGAUAGGAUCUGGCCUAUCCUGUGGUCUGUAGGACCGGAGUAAUGAUAAGAGGGACAGUCGGGGGCAUUCGUAUUUCAUUGUCAGAGGUAAAUCUUGGAUUUAUGAAGACGAAUACUGCGAAAGCAUUUGCCAAGGAUUUUCAUUAAUCAAGAACGAAAGUUGGGGGCUCGAAGACGAUUAGAUACCGUCCUAGUCUAACCAUAAACGAUGCCGACUAGGAUCGGCGGAUGUUUCUUCGAUGACUCCCCGGCACCUUAUGAGAAAUCAAAGUUUUUGGUUCCGGGGGGAGUAUGGUGCAAGGCUGAAACUUAAAGGAAUUGACGGAAGGGCACCACCAGGCGUGGAGCCUGCGGCUUAAUUUGACUAACACGGGAAACUUACCAGGUCCAGAAUAGUGAGGAUUACAGAUUGAGAGCUCUUUUUGAUCUAUGGUGGGUGCAUGGCCGUCUAGUUGGUGGGUUGCCUUGUCAGGUUGAUUCCGGUAACGAACGAGACUCGCCUCUAAAUAGUCACGGUUGGCUCGCCAGCCGGCGGACUUCAGAGGGACUAUUGGGACUGCCAAUGGAAGCAUGAGGCAAUAACAGGUCUGUAUGCCCUUAGAUGUUCUGGGCCGCACGCGCGUACACUGUGCAUUCAACGAGCCUAGCCUUGGCCGAGAGGCCGGGAAUCUUUAAACGCAUCGUGAUGGGAUAGAUAUUGCAAUUAUUAAUUCAACGAGGAUGCCUAGUAAGCGCAAGUCAUCAGCUUGCUUGAUACGUCCCUGCCUUUGUACACACCGCCCGUCGUCCUACCGAUUGGGGUGCUGGUAAGUGUUCGGUGGCGACCGGGGCGGUCCGCUUCGGCCGCCGAGAAGUUCAUUAACCCUCCCA